rnacentral:rRNA from 1 species
GUUAGGAAUAUUGGACAAUGGGCGCAAGCCUGAUCCAGCCAUGCCGCGUGAGUGAUGAAGGCCUUCGGGUUGUAAAGCUCUUUAGUCCACGAAUAUAAUGACUGUAGUGGAAGAAUAAGCCCCGGCUAACUUCGUGCCAGCAGCCGCGGUAAUACGAAGGGGGCGAGCGUUAUUCGGAAUCACUGGGCGUAAAGCGUACGUAGGCUGUUUUGUAAGUCAGAAGUGAAAGCCCAGGGCUUAACCCUGGAAUUGCUUUUGAAACUACAAGACUCGAAUUCGGGAGAGGAUAGCGGAAUUGUCAGUGUAGCAGUGAAAUGCGUAGAUAUUGACAGGAACACCAGUGGCGCAAGCGGCUAUCUGGACCGAUAUUGACGCUGAGGCACGAAAGCGUGGGGAGCAAACAGGAUUAGAUACCCCGGUAGUCC